rnacentral:rRNA from 1 species
CCUACGGGUGGCAGCAGUAGGGAAUAUUGCACAAUGGGGGAAACCCUGAUGCAGCGACGCCGCGUGAGCGAAGAAGUUAUUCGUUAUGUAAAGCUCUAUCAGCAGGGAAGAAAAUGACGGUACCUGAGUACUACGCCCCGGCUACCUACGUUCCAGCAUCCGCGGUCCUCCGUAGGGGGCAAGCGUGAUCCGGAUUUACUGGGUGUAAAGGGUGCGUAGAAGGGAGUUCAAGUCUGGAGUGAAAUGCGGGGGCUCAACCCCCGGACUGCUCUGGAAACUGUAAGGCUGGAGUGCAGGAGAGGUAAGUGGAACUCCUAGUGUAGCGGUGAAAUGCGUAGAUAUUAGGAGGAACACCAGUGGCGAAGGCGGCUUACUGGACUGUAACUGACGUUGAGGCUCGAAAGCGUGGGGAGCAAACAGGAUUAGAUACCCGGGUAGUC